rnacentral:misc_RNA from 1 species
GAAAUGCGAUAAGUAAUGUGAAUUGCAGAAUUCAGUGAAUCAUCGAAUCUUUGAACGCACCUUGCGCUCCUUGGUAUUCCUUGGAGCAUGCCUGUUUGAGUAUCAUGAAAUCUUCAAAGUAAAUCUUUUGUUAACUCAAUUGGUUUCUACUUUGGUAUUGGAGGUCUUUGCAGCUUCACACCUGCUCCUCUUUGUUCAUUAGCUGGAUCUCAGUGUUAUGCUUGGUUCCACUCGGCGUGAUAAGUUAUCUAUCGCUGAGGACACUGUAAAAGGUGGCCAAGGUAAAUGCAGAUGAACCGCUUCUAAUAGUCCAUUGACUUGGACAAUACUUUUAUGAUCUGAUCUCAAAUCAGGUAGGACUACCCGCUCAACUUAAGC